AGAUGCCAUAAAAUGUGUCCAACAAGCAGUGACUCUGCACUGUGACUGCAAAAUGUAGUGUCUACUUGUUCAAGGUGCAUGAUCUAGGAGAAAGUACCAUCAGCAGUAUCAUCAGAAUUUCAUUAAAAAAAAGACAUUUUGGUUUGAAGGAAUAAUUGUAGAAAACUUUAUUAAUUAAAAAAAUAAUAAUAAUAAAAAAAUGAAGCACUUCCAUAGAGUUUUCCCUCUAGCAGUAUUUCUCUGAAGUGUCAAUUAUCAUUUGUGUUGUAUCCAUGUAUAAAGACCCUCUUGUUAUGGGUAGUGAAAGAGGACAAUAAUGAACCACAUCACUGUCUUCAAAAAAGUGGACAUCUGUUCCUAGAAGACAUUAAACAAAAAAAAUAAAUGUUGUGGAAUUAAAUGUAAUUUCUUGCUUUAAAAUAAAGUAUAACAUAGUCUUGUGCAAUUAGCGUUUUUGCUAUCUGCAGAAAGUUGUUAUCCAGGAUUUAUGGGGAUUACUUCAUACAGAUUUUUGUUUUAAAGAAACCCUUACAUUUGUCUUUCAAAGGCUUCUUGGUCUUUCCUAAGAGAGGCCUCUGAGCAGCUGCAGAGGAUGUCACUGCUGCGCUCCGGGCCAGCAGGCACGAAGGCACUGCUCAUCUCCCAGCCAGGCAGGGUGACAAUGAGCACUGCGCACAAUGAGAUAUUGUGGGAGCCUUUCGGUAAGCCUGGAGGCGCCAGUCUGUGCCUGCAGAAGGACUUUAGAACUGGGAGGAUGCCAUUUCCCUACUUAGGUGUCUUUUUGUUGGAGCGCUGGGCAAAGGCCUCGUUGUGUAACAGUUUGCGUUGCAGCCUGGCUUUGCAGUCAGCAGUGUGUUGCUCAGCAGAAACAGUGAAACAAAUCAAGUAGAGAGGCUUUCAGGAUUGGAACACAUGUUCACUUCUGUUGUGAAACACCGUAUAAAUUUUCUGAACGGUUGUGCCACACACAGUGACAAAGGGCGAAGAUGUCUGUCUCUGACAGCUAUCACUGCUUCUUGCUUCAGCUACAGUGCUUUAUCUCUACAGCUGGAAAGAGGCUUGAGGUUUAUAAAAUGCCUGAAUCUGGGUCAGGAAAUAUUUCUUCUUAUUGCAAGCUGAUUUCCUCAUCUGAUGUAUGCUGGAGGUGUAGAGAGCAAGAUUUUGCUGCACGGUUGCUCUCCCUUCUGAUACUGAGCUGCUGGGAGGCCAAGAAGAAAACUCUGGGGCAAAACAGCAAGGCAAAGCAGCAGCCUGCUCUAUUACCUGAUAUAUUUCUGUGCUUCUAUCAUCAUAUCUCAACAUUGUUGGAGCCGGAACAGGUGCCAGAUGAGGAAGAAGAGUUAGUGGUUCAAGAAGACUGUCUGCCUUUGUCUCUGCACUGCCAGUGUUUCAGGUGAGUCUAGGGCCUGACAAAGUCAUUCCCAGCCCUGUACCGUCAAAGCAGGUGUUGCUGCAUUUACAGUUACCACCCCUGUUGUCCUCUGAGACUUGUUCUUACUGUCCCAAUCUGCAUUCACUGCUUCCCAUCUCAGGGGUAGUUGUAUUUCACUACUGAAUGUGCUGCAUAUUUUUAUUUCUGUUCAUUUUGUACAUCAUUUAUCUCUUGAGAUUAAAAAUACAGCAGAAAUCAAGAUUUGUAAUGUUGUUGUGAUUGUUUUCCUUCUUACAAACUGCAAACAGUAAAUCGCUUAGUCUUAUUUAAUAAAUCAUGUCAUCUAAGUGUCUAAUAUUUUUAU
rnacentral:lncRNA from 1 species